rnacentral:lncRNA from 1 species
UCAUCUCCACGGAUAAGCUCUUACACAUCCAAGAUUUAUCCCAGCUCCCCUGUUCCGAGCUAAAAGAAGCAUCUUUAUCUUCUUCCAUCUCAGUUUUCUCUCUUCCAUCCUUAUCCAAACACACUCCCUCGCUUCGGAACAGGAUCCGAGAUCUUCUCAGCUCCCCCUCGCGCCUGUGCCCAUAAGCCACGUCUUCUUUCGGAUCGAUCUCACAUCCUUAUCCCUUCCGUGUUCAAAGCUCCAGCUUAUCUAUGCUUCAGCCGAUAACCAAACGCAUCCUCCCAACAUCCAAGAUCUUCUUCCGGAUUCCCCUGUGUUGAAACAGAGUCCCAGCGAUUCCUCCGUGAUCCGACUUCAUUCUUAUCCCAAAGCCAAGAUCCAUUCCAUCGCGACGGAUUCCUCCCAACCAUUCCGCUCCCAUCCGCCCGUUGUUCUCCCACGAACCGAUUCCAUCCCAGCUUAUCCCAACUAGAUUCCCAACUCUCAUCCUCUUCCCCUGUUACGGUUUCCACCCAGCUAUCAGCCGAGAUCCUCUCAGCCGUGAGCACCAUCCCGUGUUUCCCACGUCUUCCACGACUUCCUCUGCUUCAAAACAGAGCUCCAAUCUCCACGUCACCUCCGAGAUCUUCUCCGCAUCACCUGCUCCCAGCUCGUUCCAGCCGUCCGCAAGAUACCCAUAGCGUCUUCAUCCUUAUCCUGCACUCGGAAGGAGGAGCCAGGGGGAGUUGGAAGCCGUUGAUCCAUCUUUAUCUCGACUUGGACAGAGGAGCGAGGGGGAGGUGCAGCCUAUAAAAGGCCCAGCGUGAACCGAGAAGAGGAAUCAAUCCUUCUUCCCCCACCGGGGGGGGGGGCAUUCCCUCUUCCCCCACCGGGGGUUGCUCCCAUCAUCUCUCGGAGGCCACAUCCCACGGGAAGAAGAAGAAGUAAAGGGAGAGAUAAUAGUUUGGGAUAUUCUGGGAAUUACUUCCCACAAAAAAAAG